AGGAAGGAGGAAGAGAGGAGGCCGGGGCGGGCUCUAGGCCGUUGAAUCUGGGGCCUCAAAGCCCCUUCGUCUCCCUGGCACCCACCCUCUGGGGGCAGGCGGGCCCGGUGACAGGGAGCCCUGAAGACCAUGGAGGCCUACUGACCAACGACCUCUGACCUUUACCCCUCCGGAGGGGGGACGGAUCACUAGGCAAAGGGGAACAAUGGGAAGGAGACAAAAUGGCUGCCUCUACAGCUGCAGCAAGGUUUGGAAACACAGGUUCCGCAGGUACCUCCAUUGACUGCCCGCCUUGGGAACAUGAAAUAAAUAAAGUGUGACUAGGAACAUGAGGAAGGUUGAUCCAGGUCACUCGACCCGUCUUUUGUCCUCUUGUUGAUCUCGGCCGCACAGUAACUCAGGACUGGGGCUGCCAUAUCUGCUUCGUCUUUCAUGAAACUCAACCCUAAGCAGAGGAAAACAUCCUAAAAAUCGAGGCAGAUUAACUCAGUCCUUAAUUUAGUUCAGAUCCACCUGCUGCCCUAUCGGCAUUUGGUAGUUCCUGCACAUACUUUGCCCCCAGGUUUUGUCUUAGAGUUCUAAACUUUCCUUGUCUCCCCGUAGGGAAGGGAAGUGGGCAGUAGUGGGAGACUCAGGUAUAAACGGUGACUUUGUUUCUCUGGUGCUUGAGAUUCAGGAAGGGCUGUCUUGGGAAGAAGUGUCCGCUUAUCUGUGGACUCAACAGGCACCUGUUCUGUUGGCCCCAGAGCUGAGGGAGUGACAAGCCCACCUCCACAGAGCUCUGCUAGCCAAGCAGCUCCUCACGCCUGGGGACAUAAAUGGAGUCUGGUGGCCUACAUCAGGCCAUGCGAUCCACUGGGCUUCUAGGCACAGAAGCCCCUCCACAGACACAGGCAGGCUGCCAGAGCCACAUGGAACUCUGCUACCAAGGAAGCAGCUCCUGUUGGGGUCAUCAGAUUUUUAAUGUGGCUCAGCAAAGCCACAGCUGCUCCAGCCCUAAAAAAAUGGGCGAUGUGAGAGAAAUGGAAGGUGGGGUGAAGAGCGCAGCUGGGCCUCUAGACCCCAGGCCCUGCUUCCCCUUAGCUGCCCCAGCCAGAGUCUUUUGCGCCCUCUGCUGGCAGACACAAAGACAGCCCCAGCCAUGCCUAUGUAACUGCGCAUGCGUGCUGCUCAUGAACAUGUGAAGCCUUGACUUGAGCUUAAGUAAUAAAAAUUUAUUGAGAA